AAUUUUAAAGCAAGUAAUUUCACUGUGACUCCCCUAGGUUAUGAGCAGCCCAAGAGGAGGAACAAUGGUAGCUCCAGAAGUUCUAACAGGAAGAGGAAAGGGUCAGAGAUUUUAUUAAGAAAAGAAUUUUGGAGGAGUAAUCAGCGGAUUUGACUUGAAACAAUAGCUGCAGAAUAUGUUUAAUUUUGAAGAUCUACACUUUUAUUUCAGAGAAGUAUGGAGGGGCACAAUGAGUAAAUACAAAUGUUUGGUCCACUAUCUUGGAUCAGAAGGCUAGCCGAACAUCUUGGAUUCCACUGAGCUAAUUGACAUUGUAUAAUAAUGAAAAAAAUAAACAAAUUUCUCAAGACUCAAAAUAUCUAAGAAUGUAGGUCAAGAACAUUUAAGAGGGGGAAGAUGGGUGUAAAUAUCUGAGAACAUUCUGGGGAAAGGAGUUACAGUGAUGAACAAAGAAGACAUAUUUGAGAAGUGAAGAAUACAGACAACCUCCCUCACACCAAAACACCGGAAGACUUGAGUGAGCAGAUCAAUGCCACAGGCAAAUGACUCAGUGAAAAUCUUGAAUGUUUGCUAAGAUCUCCUGCAGCAUCCCAGGUCAAAGAGGCUGACUCAGAGGGCCCUACUCCCACUGCUGUCCCUGACACACAUUGGAGAGGCCUUGAGACAUGCUGCCUCUGAAGUCGGUAUCAUGUGACUCACAACCUAGA
rnacentral:lncRNA from 1 species